rnacentral:rRNA from 1 species
GACGAACGCUGGCGGCAAGCUUAACACAUGCAAGUCGAACGCCGUAGCAAUACGGAGUGGCAGACGGGUGAGUAACACGUGGGAACGUGCCUUUCGGUUCGGAACAACUGAGGGAAACUUCAGCUAAAACCGGAUACGCCCUUCGGGGGAAAGUUUACGCCGAAAGAUCGGCCCGCGUCAGAUCAGGUAGUUGGCGGGGUAAUGGCCCACCAAGCCGAUGAUCUGUAGCUGUUCUGAGAGGAAGAUCAGCCACGCUGGGACUGAGACACGGCCCAGACUCCUACGGGAGGCAGCAGUGGGGAAUAUUGGACAAUGGGCGCAAGCCUGAUCCAGCUAUGCCGCGUGGAUGAAGAAGGCCUUCGGGUUGUAAAGUCCUUUCGGCGGGGAAGAUAAUGACGGUACCCGCAGAAGAAGCCCCGGCUAAUUUCGUGCCAGCCGCCGCUGUAACAC